rfam:Triticum aestivum genome assembly, contig: Triticum_aestivum_CS42_TGACv1_scaffold_404144_5BL
CUUGUACUCCCUCCGUACGAAAAUACUUGUCAUUGAAAUGGAUGUAUCUAGAUGUAUUUUAGUUCUAGACACAUCCAUUUUGAUGUCAAGUAAUUCCGAAUAGAGGGAGUACUUG